GUCAAUGUAGUAUAGUGGUAGUACACCGCGUUGUGGCCGCGAUAGCGGGGGUUCGAUUCCCCCCAUUGACA
rnacentral:tRNA from 1 species